GACGUAGGUGGCGAACGUUAUCCGGAAUUAUUGGGCGUAAAGGAUGCGUAGAUGGUGUAGUAAGUUAUCGGUGGUAAAUCGAGGCUCAACCUCGUGGAAGUCGGUAAUACUGCUAUGCUAGAGGAUAGGAGAGGUUAACGGAACUCCCUGUGGAGCGGUGAAAUGCGUAGAUAUAGGGAAGAACACCAAUAAGGCGAAGGCAGUUAACUAUUCUAUUCCUGACAUUUGAGGCAUGAAAGCGUUGGGGAGCAAAACGGG
rnacentral:rRNA from 1 species